GGGUUCAUAGCUCAGUUGGUUAGAGCGCUGUGUUCACAUCGCAGAGGUCUCAGGUUCGAAUCCUGAUGGACCCACCA
rnacentral:tRNA from 1 species